rnacentral:rRNA from 1 species
AUGACAGCCAGGACUAACUGCGGGGCUAAAAUGAGGCUGAAGAAGGAAAAGGAUGGAAAAUUUAUCGUAAAAGAGAUAGUCUGGGAACACAACCACAGGCUACAGCUCACUCCGCAAAUGCUUGUCUUCUUGCACUCCCACAAAAAUUUUGACAAAACAAUCUUGGAGUACGUCAAGUACCUGCAGUUCAAAGGCAUUGAACACGCGCAAAUCAUGAGCAUACUGGGCGGUGAUGACCCUGGUAGCUACUUCCACGAAAUGAAUGCCAAAGACCUGAUUAAACUGAAAGCAAAGAAUUCAAGGAUGGAUGAUGUCGGUGAUGUCCUAAAGACUGUCAACUUCUUUAGGGAGAUGAAAGCUAUAAACAGGGAAUUCUUCUGUAACAUGCAACUCGAUGAGUCCGACAGAGUUAAGAACAUAUUCUGGGCGAACGCAAGCUGCCGAGGGGCCUAUCAAGACUUUGGUGACUACAUAAAAUUUGACGCCACAUAUAAGACCAAUAAGUACCAUAUGCCACUUGGGGUGUUUGUCGGUACUAACAACCACUUAUAG